GAUGAACGCUGGCGGCGUGCCUAAUACAUGCAAGUCGAGCGAACAGAUGAGGAGCUUGCUCCUCUGACGUUAGCGGCGGACGGGUGAGUAACACGUGGAUAACCUACCUAUAAGACUGGGAUAACUUCGGGAAACCGGAGCUAAUACCGGAUAAUAUAUUGAGCCGCAUGGUUCAAUAGUGAAAGACGGUUUUGCUGUCACUUAUAGAUGGAUCCGCGCCGCAUUAGCUAGUUGGUAAGGUAACGGCUUACCAAGGCAACGAUGCGUAGCCGACCUGAGAGGGUGAUCGGCCACACUGGAACUGAGACACGGUCCAGACUCCUACGGGAGGCAGCAGUAGGGAAUCUUCCGCAAUGGGCGAAAGCCCGACGGAGCAACGCCGCGUGAGUGAUGAAGGUCUUCGGAUCGUAAAACUCUGUUAUUGGGGAAGAACAAAUGUGUAAGUAACUAUGCACGUCUUGACGGUACCUAAUCAGAAAGCCACGGCUAACUACGUG
rnacentral:rRNA from 1 species